UGCCAGCCGCCGCGGUAAUACGGAGGGUGCAAGCGUUAAUCGGAAUUACUGGGCGUAAAGCGCGCGUAGGCGGCUUGGUAAGUCGGAUGUGAAAUCCCCGGGCUCAACCUGGGAACUGCAUUCGAUACUGCCAGACUAGAGUAUGUUAGAGGCAAGUGGAAUUCCGGGUGUAGCGGUGAAAUGCGUAGAUAUUGGGAAGAACACCAGUGGCGAAGGCGGCUAACUGGCUCGGUACUGACGCUGAGAUGCGAAAGCGUGGGGAGCAAACAGGAUUAGAUA
rnacentral:rRNA from 1 species